ensembl:lncRNA
GCACUUGGUCUUUAAUAAUAAUGUUUUUAAAAGUACAUAAUCAGUUUGCAGCAAGCAGAAAAACAGGAAUGGGGAGUAACCCGACUAACAAUGCAGGAACAACAUAAAGAAUACAGGAAGCUGCAGGUAAUAGAAACAACAUUUUUUUCGAUGACCAAGCAUUUGUCUGUGAACAAAUGUGGGUGGGGUUAAGGUCGUGUUUAUUAUAUCCAAACUGUUGCUGACGGAAGAGACGAGAAAUGAAACUUAACUGAGACCGACGGUUGCAGCCAAGAUGAGUCCAGGGUAUGCUAUCCAAGUCCCGCUGUUGUCGAUCAGACUCACAUUGGGAUCAGUUGACAAAUAGGACCUUGGUUUAACGGUAAGCAUUAUUAGUGGUAUUAUUAUUAUUAGUAGUAGUAGUAGCAGUAGAAGUCUCAUUAUGUGUAUACAAAAUGAUUCUAAACGUGAAUGUGGAUUUUUUUUUUUUUUUAAUGGCCGGUAUUCGGCAUUUUCUCAUGGUUAUCAAAUUGUUUAUAAAACAUUGGACAGUGCGAAACCGACUGUUAAUGUCACACUUCAGUAACUCUAGUUUCUUUAUAAGUUUUAUUAUAAUAAGUGUUUUUUUUUUUCUUGUUCCUCUGGAACCAUUAUAAUAGUAAUAAUGUAAAUUAUGCUCUGUGUGAUGACACGACCAAUGUAUAUCAUAACAUCAUACGCUUUUCAGGUGAAGUCUUGUUUUUUUUAAUUUUUUUAAAGAAGUCAAUAAUCAGUUUUCAGCUAGCAGAAAAACAGAAAUGGGAGGGAGGCUGAAGCCCCUGCAUCAUCAGACUAACCGUGCAGGAACAUCAUAAAGAAUGCAGGAAGCUACUGUUAAAAGGAGCAGCAUUAUUGCUGCUGACGCAAAAGAAGAGAAAUGAAACUUAAGUAAGACUCCAGCUGAGUCCACGCGAUGCUGUCCAAGACCGAACAAUCAAACUCACGGUGGGGUGAGGUGACAUAGGACAUCAGUCAGUGAAAAUAUUAAUGGUAUUAUUAUUAUUAUUAUUAUUAUUAUUAUUAUAUGGGGAAGCCCACGUUACACCUGGUAUUGUAUUUAAAGAUGUGUAAUUACGCCAUCUAGCGGACUUUAGACCCGCUUUACUUUUUCUACGUGGUUAUUUAUUGUAUAUAAAUACAGACGUUUUAAUAAUGGUGGUGGCAAAUGUCACUACUCGGCAGCCAUCUUGAAGCGCAUCGGGGCACUUCCUUAGGCAGUUAUUUAGAAGCAUUAUCUCAAUAAGUUUAAAUUUCAGUGGUCAUUAGGGUAACUGUCUAUAUAUCACAGGUCUAAUUUUAUAAAUAUGGUUUUGCCCCAUAGAUUUAAUUUCUGGGUUUAUGAGUUAUAUUUUCUUAUGAUGUUUCUGGUUAAACACUGGUAGCUCAAAUGCGAGAAUCCUUUACAGACAGAGAGAAUUCUUAAUAGAAAUCUGAGGGAGUUUAGUAAGCAUCUUGAGUAAGUGACCUACAAACUGACAGGCUAAUGCAGAGGCCGGGGUUCAAAUUCACUUCAAUUUGCCGUUUGCCUCCCCCUGCUCUUUCUCUCAGCUCCCAGCUGUCUGGUCUUAUCUCCACUGCACUGUCGCAGUAAAGACACAAUAGAAAAAACAAACUAAAAUACCUGGAGCCACCAAAUUUCUGAAAAGCAAUAGCUUCCUCUACCACCCUAAGUAGACUAUAGACUGCAUAUCUAGGUAGACUUAGUGCUUAGUGAUUCUCAAAAAACUAGGAAAAACUUAACUUUGAUUUUUGGUGUGGUUUGAAUCCAGAUCUCAAAGGGCAACUGUUGUUGCAUAAUUUUGUUUCAACACAUUACACAAUGUACAACCCCUCAACAAAUUGAGAAACCACAAGAUUUGCAAGAUUUGCAAAUUUCAUAAACCCAUAUGUUAUACACAAUUAAAGCAUAAUUGGGGAGGGCUUGCAUUUUUCAGUAAGACAGUGCUUAUUGCAGCCAUAGCUCCUACUACAAAGAAGACCCUGGGUGCUAAACUGCUUUGCCUACAGUCCAGAAGUGAUUCUCCAAUUUACUUAAUCCAUUUACUUAAUAUUGUAAACUGAAUGUAAUCAAAAUUGUACUUAAUAUUAAAUAUGGCAAAUGGCCUGUAUUUGUAUAGCGCUUUACACUGCAUUCAGUCAUCUUGAAUGUGUGUGUGAACAGUGUUGGUCAAAUUACUUGAAAAAAGUAAUCAGUAACUAAUUACUGAUUACUUCCCCAAAAAAGUAAUCCCUUUACUUUACUGAUUACUUAUUUUCAAAAGUAAUUGAUUACUUAGUUACUUUUUAAAAACACCAUUUACAACUAGGGCUGCCACGAUUAGUCGACUAGUCACGAUUAUGUCGACUAUUAAAAUCGUCGACGACUGAUUUAAUAGUCGACGCAUCGUUUGAAGCUUUGUAAGAUCACAAAGGACGCAGGAAUGAGUAGUAGGAUUUAAGAGUGUAAUAACGGACUGAAACAGAAGAUGGCAGCACUGCAUGUACAAGGAUGCCAGCUGCCGUUAAACCCCGAAGAAGAAGAAGCUGUGUCCCAGAAUUCAUAGCGCAGCCCAGCGCAGUUGUCAACAAUGGUGGCAGCUAGUUAGUUUUAACUUUACUCUUAUUAUUCUUUCUGGGUCACAAAAUAAACGUUUAACAUAUUUUCAGGCGAGAAUGUAGCCGUGUAAAUCUCAAAUAUCUGCUCAGUUUAUCAAGACACCACGUAUUUUCAAAAGCGCUCCGACGUUUUCGGAGACGUCUGUUACCUACUAGCUCGUUAGCUAGGCGGGGGCAAGGCUAACUAGAGCCGUGAGAACACCGGACUCCCGGCAAAUCGUUUUCAAACCCACCGCCGUCUUUCGCUAGUCAGGUUAAACAUAUAUAUAAGUCACUUAGAUAACUUAAAAAUGUUAUUGUUUGGCUUUCUUUAGUAUUUUAUUUGUUCCUGAGUAAAUCGGUUUGGCUGAGAUUAAAGUUAUAGUUUUUGCACAGCUAAAACUGUCAAGCAGACAGCUGAUUGUCAGAAGUGUGAGACGCUGGAGAAUAUACUCCGGUGUCCUGUUAUAUUUUAGAAAGCAAGGAGUUUAUUAAACUUCACCGAAACAAUCUGCAAAUUUCAUUAAAAAUUAAUAAACUACCAUCUUGUCUUUAUUUUUAGUUAGCACAAACACUUCAAGCUGUAAGCUAAUGAUAGUUAUAUAAGACCAGAUGCUUCUGGUGCAAUAAGCUGUACGCUGUACGUCCAAUGGAUGAUGAUCUAAUUAGUCGACUAAUCGCAAAAAUAAUCGGUGACUAGUCGACUAUCAAAAUAAUCGUUUGUGGCAGCCCUAUUUACAACCUGAAUAGGUGAUAAAGCGAUAGAUCUUUCAGCCCAAUUCUACUUUUUCUGCAUAAUCAUCAUACAAAAUGUAAUCAAAUGGAAAAGUCUCUUUUUAAAACUUGUUUUAUUAGUUUUAAUCUUUUAACUUCAUGCAUCAAGCAUAAAUGUAAUUAUAUGCAACAUUCUCUGACUGGAAGAAAUUUGUUUAAUAUUUAAACCUAUUUUCUGCACAUUCCAGCACAUUUUUUUUUGUGUGUUUACACUCACUCUUUCAAAUAGAUGCAAGUAAAACACAGCAGAAAAUAAAUAAAGUCAAAGACUAGCUGUCCUUUUGCUCUAUUUUCACCUGUAAAGCAGGAGUGGGGUAGGCGGAGGUUACCCUGGUGCAGGUGUGCCGCAGAAGUCAGAGGAAGAAUCCGCGAGUUUCUCUGUGAAUUUCCCAUUACGUGGUAGCUACUCGGUGCUUGUUCGGAAGUUUAGGGGGGUUUUUUGCUGUAAAAAGAAGUUUUCUUCCCACGCACAACGGACACUAAUGUUUUUGUCACUUUUUAUGGAAUCAAACUCAAAGUAAGAUCAGUACUUCCACGCUUUAAACGCUGCACGCUCAUACUCUCGCCCGCACUGAUAUAUUAUCCAUUGUUGCUCUGCACACAGCUGUUGUCACGAACGUCACACUUGCUUACGUCACUGUCAUGAGACAUUCUCGCAAAAUAAUCACGUUUUUAGUAACGCAGCGUUCCUACGGGAAAGUAACGGUAAUCUAAUUACCGUUUUUGCAAUAGUAAUCCCUUACUUUACUUGUUACUUGAAAAAAGUAAUCGUUACUCCCCAACUCUGUGUGUGAAUCAUUCAGUCAUUCACACACACAUUGGUGAUGGCAUGCUACAUUGCCACUGUGAUCAAUUGAAUAACAAUGCCUGGCAGCAUGGCGCACUGACAGAGACAAGGCUGCCGGACACUGGCGCCACCGGGCACUCUGAGGUGUGCAGUAGGCAACCAGUUGGCGACCAGUAGGCGACCGAGACUGUCUGCGCCAGGGCUCGAACCAGCAACCUUCCGAUUACAAGAUGAACUGCCAACUCUUGAGCCAGGUUCCAGUUUCAUGUUCCCAGUGCCUUUGUUGUUUGUUUUUCCCUUCAUUAAUAAAUACUCACCUGCACCAGAACUGCCGCGUCCUGGUCCUAAAUAUUCCACACGGCUUGCCCUGGCAAACCGUGACAGUACGAACCAGCCACCAUGGACCCAGCGGCAGUAAAUCCGUCCGAGGAGCUCCGGGACGACACUACAUAUAAUGUGGAGAUUCUCCUCGGGCUGUGGCUAGAGAACCCUCCAGAGGAGCUUCGCCGCACCGUGGAAAGUCGGCUACAAUGGCUCUUUUCUGGCCUGCCAUGGCUUCUGAAGUCGCUUCCUCCGACCAUGCAGGCUUUUCUCCAGCACACACCGCACCUUCUCUCAGCCACUCCUGCCUCACUGCCCAACUCGCCGGAUGUGAUCUUGCCCGGCCCGUCGGAGCCGUCUGCGGGGAGGAAACGCCGAUCGCACACUCUUCUCAGCUAGCUGCCCCGCAGCCACACUCUGCUCGGCCACCAGUGUCUCCCUCUUUUCAGUGCCUCCAGUGUCACCUGUAGUUCAGGCCCCUGCGCCUCCAGUGUCACCUGUAGUUCGGACCCCCGUAGCUCCAGAGUCACCUGUAGCUCAGGCCCCCGUAGCUCCAGUGCCCCCGCUACCCGCAGCUCCAGUGCCCCCGCUACCCGCAGCUCCAGUGCCCCCGCUACCCGCAGCUCUGGCUCCAGUGUCACCGGUCUCACACACUCACUCUACGCAGGGAGAAAGUCUAAGUUCCAGUCAGGGAAUUUCUCGCGCUUUAGCUGCUUCAGGCACCGUUCUGCACUCCAGGGCUUCCCCAGAGGCUAGGUCUCAGUCCCCAGCUGAUUCUGGACCCCUGAAGUCUAAGCAGCCACCUGAGAACUGCACCAUGUCAGCAUUGCCUGGGCAGAGCCCGUGGAGGGUCCGAGGGACCGCUCCGGCCUUCGUCUCCUGUCUCCGCUGGAGGGUCCGAGGGACCGCUCCGGCCUUUGUCUCCUGUCUCCGCUGGAGGGUCCGAAGGACCGCUCCGGCCUUUGUCUCCUGUCUCCACUGGAGGGUCUGCAGCGCCUCUGGCUUCCACGCCGCCGCCUGCAGCGCCUCCGGCUCUGGCUUCCACGCCACCGCCUGCAGCGCCGCCGCCUGCAGCUCGUCAUCCUCGCCUGGCCCAGCCUCCGUGUCUUCAGCGUCGCCUGGUCCAGCCUCCAUGUUUUCAGCGUCGCCUGGUCCAGCCUCCGUGUCUCCGCCUUCAGUGUCGCCUGGCCCUGCCUCGUUUGGGUCUGCAGCUAAACGGCCGCUUUCUAGGCCGCUGGCCAGGCAACUGGCCAGGCGCCAUCGCCGUCGUGGGCAGUUCCCAGACCCUCUUUGCCUGAGUGGCCGCCGUGGCCCUCCGCACGGCCGGCUCCGGCUUCCACGCCGCCGCCUGCAGCGCCUCCGUCUCCGGCUUCCACGCUGCCGCCUGCAGCGCCGUCUGGUCCAGCUGCAGCCUCGUCAUCCUCGCCUGGUCCAGCUGCAGCCUCGUCAUCCUCGCCUGGCCCAGCCUCCGUGUCUUCAGCGUCGCCUGGUCCAGCCUCCGUGUUUUCAGCGUCGCCUGGUCCAGCCUCCGUGUCUCCGCCUUCAGUGUCGCCUGGCCCUGCCUCGUUUGGGUCUGCAGCUAAACGGCCGCUUUCUAGGCCGCUGGCCAGGCAACUGGCCAGGCGCCAUCGCCGUCGUGGGCGGUCCCCAGACCCUCUUCGCCUGAGUGGCCACCGUGGCCUUCCGCACGGCCGGCCCCCGGACCGCCAUCGCCUGAGUGGCCGCCAUUGCCUUCCGCACGGCCGGCCCCCAGACCCUCCUCGCCUGAGUGGCCGCCGUUGCCGUCCGCACGGCCAGCUCCCAGACCCUCUUCGCCUGAGUGGCCGCCGUUGCCUUCCACACGGCCGGCUCCCGGACCAGUGCUGUCGCCGUUGCCUUCCGCACGGCCGGCCCCCGGACCAGUGCUGUCGUCGUCGCCGUUGCCUUCUGCACGGUCGGCCCCCUGAACUGUUUGGACUCCUGUGCUGGCCGGCCCCCUGACCUUUUCUGUUUUGGACUCUGUUUUCCUGUGCUCUGGUGUGCUUCUUUUCUUUUGGUUUGGACUCGUGUUUUGUUUUUAUUUUUGUCUUUUGGCCUUCUAGUGCUCCUGUUUUGUUUUGCCUUUGUUAGUUUUACCCAGUUUAGGUUCCAGUUUCAUGUUCCCAGUGCCUUUGUUGUUUGUUUUUCCCUUCGUUAAUAAAUACUCACCUGCACCAGAGCUGCCGCGUCCUGGUCCUAAAUAUUCCACACGGCUUGCCCUGGCAAACCGUGACAACGUUAUUGUUUCGGUGAAGUGAAUUUCUACAAUACUGUUACUGUUAAUUGUUCUCUCUGCACUGUUUAAAUGCUUACAUAUACACACACAGUUACUGUCCCUCCACACAUACGACUCGGUUCUGCUUCUAUCCCCCAUCUUUGUUUACUAUUUCCCACCGAGGCUUCUAGACUUCUGAUUGGCCAACAUUUCUACACAGUUAGGAAUAUAUCGCCACCUGUUGCUUUGGCAUGUUCUUAGCAGCGUUUUCCUUCAUUUUUGCGUUUACAUGUGGACGGGAUUAUUUUUUUUAAACGAAAACGGAAAAUCUCCGUUUUCAAAAAUACCUGUUUACAUGUGGACGUAGCCUUAGAUUACGAUGACCUGGAUGACUGAGAACCUUCACAGACACUAUGCUCAAAGCAGUUCAGCUCUGGUGUUUUCUCUGUAUUAUUUCAAAGUGUUUACCUUAUUACCAAAUCACAACAACAGUCACCUCAAGGUGCUUUAUAUUUAAAGCGUGACUGUUGUGAUUUAGUGUUAUACAAAUAAAAUGUAAUUGAAUUUAACUGAACAGAAUCUAACACCAAUAAAAUGCCUAUAUAUUACAGAGGAAAACAUUGCUAAGAAUAAGUCAAUGAGAUUUUGUUUUGUUAACACCAGAACAUGCAAUUGAAAAUAUACUGAAGUGAAUUAAUAUACCUCUAUAAAGACUAAAAACUGUAUGGCUAUUUUUAAAUUGAGCUGCUGAAAGUAAACGGUUUAUUUAAGUCUGUCUAACCCGGAAUGUGCCCCACUUAGUUUGCCAGUGCUGGUUACUAGCAUCAGCAUGGAAGUGGAAAUCUAAGUUGCAAAAACACUUGAAAUGCACUUUCUAUGAAGUAUGAGACAUUUUGUAUCCAAUAAUAGUAGUUUUGAGAAUUAAAUUAAAUGUACAUUGCUUCUCUUCACAUCCCCAACUAAGUACUUCACUAAUCUAUCUUUACUGUUAUAUCUUAUUAGUAUUUUAAGUAUUCUAUCUAUUUUAUUUAUUGAAUUUUAUUGUUUUAUUUAUAUUUUGAUAUUGCUAGGGAUGAUGCAAUGAUCGGGGACCAUUCUUAAUUUCGUUGUUCUCAUGACAAUGACAAUAAAGUUUCUGAUUCUGAAGAUUAAAUGGCUGAGUCUUAGUAGAUAAUUUCUGCAGUGACUGAACACAC